AACAACCUUCAUAAAUGCUUCCAUGAUUUCUCAUUCAUUGUAUCUCGCUUUAUCCCUUUUUUCUAGCAAUGAAUCUCCACCUAUAAAAAGGUAAAGUUUCAUCUCUUGAAAAUCAUCCUCACAAAUCCAAUAGCAUUCGAUAUUUUCUCAUUAUAAUAGUUAACUCCUCUGUUCGACUUGCUGAUCUAAAUUAUGGGUUGUUCUUCUACCUUAGAGAAUGAUAUAUCUUAUGUGGAAGGGGAAAAAUAAAUACUAUGGAACUAAAGUAACUAUAAAUGUGUGGGAGCCAAAGAUACAGCAGCGGUACGAGUUCACCUUCUCGCAGAUAUGGCUUCUCAGUGACUUAUUCAGAAAGUAUCUUAACAACAUAGAAGCUGGUUGGCAGGUACACUCAGUUAACUUCUAGGGAGCGUGAAUUUGAUUUUCAUUAUCUUUUCUGUAUAAUGAUUUGUGUGUUUUAUUACAGAUUAGCUGGAUUUAUAUGGUGACAAACUGACAACAAUACAAAGGCUCUUUACUUACUGGACUGUAGGUUCUUUAGAAAGAAAAAAAUUAUGUUAAUGUUUUUAAAAAUUUGAAGCUUCUUAAAAUAAAUAUAGUAUUAUUUGUAUAAACUUUAUAUUUUUACUAUGUCAAAUUGAAAUAGAAAUAAUAAGAAUAUUUCUAUUAUUACAUUUUCUUAAUUAUUUUUGUUAAUAUUGUAUUAUUUAACGAUAGAGAAUAAUGAAAGUUGUUGUCAUUUUAAUUCAAAUCAAAAAUAUUUAUUAACAAUAACAAUAUGAUCUCAGAAUUAUUUCCAUUAUUUUUUGUUUAUAAUAUUAUUUUCAAUACAUAAUAAUUUUAUAUGUUUCAUAAGUUAAUAUAAAUUCAUGUAAAAUAAUUUUUAUAAUAACUUUCCGCCCGUAGGGCGGGCCGAUCCUAGUUAUAUUAUAGAGAUAUGGGCAUCAACCAAUGUGGAAAAACGUUUGUCAGCUACGCGAAGUUUAUUCUAAUAUGGUGGAAACCAUCCAAUGUAUAAAAAUAUGUUCUGAACAUCACGUUUAUGCUAAUACAUACAACAUAUACAAAGUAAAUGAUUAUAUGGUGGCAACAUCACAAUGAAGUUUAAUUGAUUUUAAGCGAAGUAAAUAGGAUCAAUCCGUAAUUUAUUAAAAUUAAAUCCAAUUAAAUAAAUUGGACCUGACCCAACUCCUUUAACCGAUCCGUAUCGAAUUAACUCUCUUGUUUGGAUCUCCAAUUCAAAAAUUAGGGUUCAUAACAACAACAAAUAUCGUAUCGAAUUAACUCUCGGAUAAUUUUCUCGGAUAAUUUUCUCCUGAUUAAAUUUCUUUUUCAUGAUUUCACCAUAUGUUCUGUCUCGUAGCCAAUGUUCCUUUGUGAUAAAAGCCAAUGUUUUAUCACAAAGGAACAUUGGCUUUUAUCAUGAGAGAGAUAUAGCCAAUGUUCUGUCUCGUAGCCAAUGUUCCUUUGUGAUAAAAGCAUAUAGUUUUAACAUGUUCAAAAUCUAUUCUUUUCCAGACAGAACAUUGGCUAUAUCUGUCUCACUGAAAGUAUGUUAGUUUUGAAGUAUGUUCAAAGUUGUCUCAGUUCUUUGCAAUGUUUUGGCCUAAAGUGUUGGAGUUGUUUUAUUUGUGUGCAGGUAACAGAAUACAAAAGCUAUAAACAUGACUAUGAAGGAGAAUACAAUGAUGAUAUGUAUAUGAGAAGAGAGUACGGAGAUGGAAGAUGGAGAAAUGUCAUGGUUCAAUGCAGGUGUGAGGGUUGAUGUGGGAAUUGGUCUAGGUGUAUGUGUGGGUUUUGGGCAUUGGAGUUGGCCUUCUGGUGCGUACAUAUCAAUCAACAUCCAGAAACUUAAGAAGAAGGCUCAUCUAGUUUGUUUCACUCAAAUUGCCUCGAGCUUCUGCUAACUACACUACAUCUCAAAAUUUCUUUGACCGCAGAUCUCUAAGCUAUUUAGUCUAAUAUGUUAAUACUGGUCUGUAGUUAUAGUCUUUCUUCAUGUGUUUUUUUUUCCUUUGCAGCUUCAAAUUUUAAAAGAAAUCUUUAUCUUUUCUUGUGUUUGUUGAGAUUAAGACUGAAAGAGACAAAGCUCGUUGUUGCUUAUCUAUAUAUAAUAGCAAACCUAUUUUCUAUAACCGAUGAUGUAAUCUUUUUAUUAUAGGAAAAAAAAAAUUAAGAUCUAACGGUGGUAGUAGUUUCUAGAAUAUAAUCUAAGAGAUACAAUUGUGUUUAGGGUGAAGCGUAUGACGCCAUCAAUUCACAUUACGAAUAGACGUCUUCAAUCUUCAUCGUAUCUCUUCAAAAUGUGCCACCUAAUUGCAGAAAUUUUCUUCCCCUCUAAAAGUUGUAUCUUUUCACAUUCAGGGUUUCAGUGGAAACUUCAUCAUCUUUCACUUAAGAGUCGUAUCUUUUCAGAAGUUUAUAUAUUGAAAAAGAUUGUGUAGGAUUCAGAAUUUUUUGUCAAAGAUAUAGCUUUCAGAUUUGUUUCAAGUUGUCUCUGAUCCUCCUCUGUGCUUCUUAUCUCUCUCCGACCCCGCUGCAGAUAAUUUUUAAAGUAUUGCUAUUUCUCUGUAAUUCGCUAAUUAUUUAAUUUACUGCCCCUUUCUUUCGUUAGUUUAACAUAUCCUCUUUUUAUUUCUUACAAGUUCUUAACUUCUUUUCUAAAAAAAAAAGGAUCUUAACUUCUGUUGAAAAACUGUCAGGUUUGUUUUUCCUUUGGUGUGGAUGUUGUUUUGUUUGGUUAGGCUUUCCAUGUCGAUGGCAACACGUUGAGAUGUCUAUUGAAUAUUUAUACUCUGCAGUGUGAUUAGUUUUUUUUUUUUUUGUGAUUGUAUAGCAGAUCAAGUGCAAGAGAGUGGUCUUUAUUUUAGCAACUUCUCUCUGACUUGCUUCUUGUGACCGGUGAGCAUUCACUAAAGUUGCUACCUGACCUGUUGUAAUUUACCAAUCAAGAUCAAUGGUUCCUUUGAAACGUGGUACAAGUCCUGUGUACUUGGCACAUCCAUUAAGGGGGAAACCUCUGGUGUUAGCAAUAUGAAGACAAGUAUUUUGGAAAGGUGGUAGAGAAGAGAUAGAAGGGAGAAGAAUACUUUCGAGGCAGAGAAAGAGGAAACCUUUUGUUAAUGAAAUAUAACAACUUAGUUGAUGAAUAUAUAAACAACUUAUCUCUUCCUUCACAGGAGAAACUGUUUCCACUAGGGAAGAUAGUCGACUAGAAGCCCGUGGAAAGAGAUUUGAUCAAAGUUAUCUAGGCAGUUUAUACUUCCCUCAGUGGAAGGUCUGCAGUUCUGCACUAAAACAAGGACUGAAGCGACACGAGCAUGGCUUUUAGAUUUCAAGAACCUUUUCUUUAAUUGAAUAUCAAAUUUAUUGAUCAAAGAGUUGGAACAUUUACAAAGAGAUGGUUGAAUAACUUUCUUAAGAGUGUAUGAUUCUUUUAUUUUACUGUCUACAUGAUGUUUUGUUCUUGUCCACUUACCAGAGCCAGAAAUUUGAGGUUGAUACAUUUUAUAUUUUAUGUUUUCACAUUUUGUAUAAACAAUAUAUCUUAAUAUAAUUUAAAUGUUGAAGUAA